rnacentral:rRNA from 1 species
AUUGAACGCUGGCGGCAUGCUUUACACAUGCAAGUCGAACGGUAACAGGCCUUCGGGUGCUGACGAGUGGCGAACGGGUGAGUAAUGCAUCGGAACGUACCCAGAGGUGGGGGAUAACGCAGCGAAAGCUGUGCUAAUACCGCAUGUGAUCUGAGGAUGAAAGCGGGGGACCGAGCAGCAAUGUUUGGCCUCGCGCCUUUGGAGCGGCCGAUGUCGGAUUAGCUAGUUGGUGGGGUAAAGGCCUACCAAGGCGACGAUCCGUAGCUGGUCUGAGAGGACGACCAGCCACACUGGGACUGAGACACGGCCCAGACUCCUACGGGAGGCAGCAGUGGGGAAUUUUGGACAAUGGGCGCAAGCCUGAUCCAGCAAUGCCGCGUGCGGGAAGAAGGCCUUCGGGUUGUAAACCGCUUUUGGCAGGAACGAAACGGUGUCCGCUAAUACCGGGCGCUAAUGACGGUACCUGCAGAAUAAGCACCGGCUAACACGUG